UAGGGAAUCUUCCGCAAUGGGCGAAAGCCUGACGGAGCAACGCCGCGUGAGUGAUGAAGAUCUUAGGAUCGUAAAACUCUGUUAUUAGGGAAGAACAAACGUGUAAGUAACUGUGCACGUCUUGACGGUACCUAAUCAGAAAGCCACGGCUAACUACGUGCCAGCAGCCGCGGUAAUACGUAGGUGGCAAGCGUUAUCCGGAAUUAUUGGGCGUAAAGCGCGCGUAGGCGGUUUUUUAAGUCUGAUGUGAAAGCCCACGGCUCAACCGUGGAGGGUCAUUGGAAACUGGAAAACUUGAGUGCAGAAGAGGAAAGUGGAAUUCCAUGUGUAGCGGUGAAAUGCGCAGAGAUAUGGAGGAACACCAGUGGCGAAGGCGACUUUCUGGUCUGUAACUGACGCUGAUGUGCGAAAGCGUGGGGAUCAAACA
rnacentral:rRNA from 1 species